GAUGAACGCUGGCGGCGUGCCUAAUACAUGCAAGUCGAACGAACAGACGAGAAGUUUGCGCCUUUCACGAUAGCGGCGCACGUGUGAGUCACACGUAUGUACCCUCCCUCUCAGACUGAGAUAACUUCGGGAAUCCGGCUCUAACUCCGGAUAAUAUUUCGCACCGCGUGGUUCGAUAGUGAAAGAUUGCUUUGCUAUCACUUAUACAGGGUCCUGCGCCGUAUUAGCUAGUUGGUAAGGUAACGGCUUACCAAGGUAACGAGACGGAGCCGACCUGAGAGGGUGAGUGGCCACACUGGGAGUGAGACACGGUCCAGAGUGCUACGGGAAGCAGCCGGAGGGAUGCGGGAGCAAGGGGCGAAGAACUGACGGAGAAAGGCCGCGUGAGGGAUGAAGGUCGUCGGAUGGGAAAAGACGGUCAUCGGGGAAGAACAAACGUGUAAGUAACUGGGCGCGUAAUGACGGUACCUAGUAAGAAAGGCACGGCUAACUACGUU
rnacentral:rRNA from 1 species